CAGUGGGAGCCUCUUUAUGGGGUGACUGCGUACCUUUUGUAUAAUGGGUCARCGACUUAUAUUUCUGUARCAAGGUUAACCGWAUAGGGGAGCCGAAGGGAAACCGAGUCUUAACUGGGCGUUAAGUUGCAGGGUAUAGACCCGAAACCCGGUGAUCUARCCAUGGGCAGGUUGAAGGUUGGGUAACACUAACUGGAGGACCGAACCGACUAAUGUUGAAAAAUUARCGGAUGACUUGUGGCUGGGGGUGAAAGGCCMAUCAAACCGGGARAUAGCUGGUUCUCCCCSAAAGCUAUUUAGGUARCGCCUCSUGAAUUCAUCUYCGGGGGUARARCACUGUUUCSGCWAGGGGGUCAUCCCGACUUACCAACCCGAUGCAAACYGCGAAUACCGRARAAUGUUAUCACGGGARACWCACGGCGGGUGCUAAMGUCCGUCGUGAARARGGAAACAACCCAGAMCSCCAGCUAAGGUCCCAAAKUYMUGGUUWAGUGGGAAACGAUGUGGGAARGCCCARACMGCCMGGAUGUUGGCUUAGAAGCACCCAUCAUUUAAAGAAAGCGUAAUAGCUCACUGGUCGAGUCGGCCUGCGCGGAAGAUGUAACGGGGUUAAACCAUGCACCGAAGUUGCGGCAGCGACACUAUGUGUUGUUGGGUAGGGGAGCGUUCUGUAAGCCUGUGAAGGUGGCCUGUGAGGGUUGCUGGAGGUAUCAGAAGUGCGAAUGCCGACAUAAGUAACGAUAAAGCGGGUGAAAAGCCCGCUCGCCGG
rnacentral:rRNA from 1 species